GAUGAACGCUGGCGGCAUGCCUAACACAUGCAAGUCGAGCGGCAGCACGGGUGCUUGACCUUGGUGGCGAUUGGCGAGCGGGGGAGAAUUACACAGGAAAACGUUAUCUAGAGGAGGGGAGUACGUCGGAAACAGGAAUACUACAGCAUACGAUCAUUGGAAGAAAGCAGGGUAACAAAGGACCGAGGGCAAUGGGGUGCGCCCUCGAUGGAUUAGCGAGUUGGUGGGGUAAAGGCAACCCAAGGCAAUGCUCAGUAGAUGGUCUGAGGGGACGACCAGCCACACUGGGACUGAGACACGGCCCAGACUCCUACGGGAGGCAGCAGUGGGGAAUUUUGGACAAUGGGCGAAAGCCUGACCCAGCAAUGCCGCGUGUGUGAAGAAGGCCUUCGGGUUGUAAAUCUCUUUUGUCCGGGAAGAAAGCCUUGGCUAUCAUCCUGUCGGUGGAUGACGGUACCGUAAGAAUAAGCACCGGCUAACUACGUG
rnacentral:rRNA from 1 species